UUUCUGCCUACAGCUAUGUGAGUCUGAAUUCUUCUUCACAAGGGUAACCAGAUGAAGAGGCACCAUUUUAGGUAAGGUCUUGUGGAUGUUUUUUGCAAUGGUAGAAGUAUUUGCAUUGAGACACCCUUACCUGAAAUGUUCUAACAUUAAACAUAUUUUUUGGUGUUUGUGUUGUGAUGCUGGCACACAAACAACCCACGACCAGUUUGUGACCCCAGAACUUCCUCCUCUUCUGCCACCUCCAGCUGAUGAGAUCAUGAGUUCAGUCCUUGACAUGGGAUUUAGUCUGCCUGAUGUUAUUCUACUUGUGUCUUAGCCUCUUCCCAUUCUCGUAUGACUUUAUCCUCCUUUAUUGAUGUUGCUUCAUAACCCCAUGAACUGCACGGGGUGUAUUUCAUUACUGCUGGACUACUUGCGUGGGAGUGCUAAUGAAAACAUUGAAUGAAAUCAAGCCCAAGGCUUUGAAAAACUCCUCUGGAAGGAUGGUUCUUCCACAGCCUUGAAGGGGGUCCAAUUCCGAGGUGAAGCCACACAAGGUUCCCAGCAUGACAGAGCUCCCCUAUUGCAAAUAGCCGCUCUUUUGACGUGAAGAGAAAGGAAUCUCAUCCCAACACAUCUGCAGGGAUGCUAUUGGUCUCCUUAGCCCUGUCUUGACACUGCUCAGACGUGACACCAGCAUCUACAAGCUUCUCCCAGGAGGGUUCAUUUGCUGAAGAGAGGAUCAUCAUGGUCUCCCUGGGAGGUGCAAUAAAGGAGAAGCCCUUUAGUUGCAGCAGUGUUUUUUUUCUGAAGUACCUCAGUGCCAGCACAUACUUGUCCACGAUGUAAUUUUUUCCCAUUAAUAAAUCCACAGACCCUGCUGGAUACCACUGCUGUUAUGUUUGCAAAAUCUUAUGGUGUUAAUGGGGCUCUGCUCCUUUCACUUGUCUUGACAAUAUGAAAUAUUGGCCUCCUAAGUGUUGGUUUUCCAAGGUAUUUAAGUGUUCCACUCUCCUUGGGCUAAUGGACAUCUUAUUAAAGCUGUCAGACUUCAUUUCUGGCUUGCCAGAUGCCACAGUCUUAUGGUGUAGCAGAGACGUGUCCCUGUGUUUUCUUUUAACGCUGUCAGCUACCCACUGGAUUCCCCUAUCCCAGGGCUUGCUGCUAAUAGAAAUGUAACCAUGUUUUGCUGCAAAGUGCAUAAAAACAUCAAUUUUAUUAUGUAAAAAGGGCCUACUGAGUACACAAGCAGCAGCAGCUUUAACAGCUGAUUGCUUGUUCUGAUCCUCCAGAGUGCGGUUUUACAAGGCGGUUUGGUUUAAGAGCAGCACAGAGGGAAAAUUGUGUCUUUGGGAUGUACUCUGCAUGAAACGGCCCCCUUGUACGCAGGAUAUUGGAGAAUGAGAGAUAAAUAGUCUCCGGCACAAGAAACAGCAUUGGUCCAUACUACUGAGUCAUCAGAAGAAUGAUGGAUCCCCAAACAACUUUGAGAUGAGCUGUAAGCGCGCACAGCCCAAACUGUCUAAAAAAAAAAAAAAACGGGGGGGGGGGGGGGCAAGGAAAACAAACAAGACACAGCAUUUCUGAGAAAAUAAUGUCGACAGCUGCCCAACAAAGGUCUGCAUGAUGCCUUGCUAAGUUUGUCCCAUAGCGUUUCACUUGGGGCCCUGCAGGCAUUGCCCUGCUGAGGAAUGAAGACAAUGGAUUCGGCAAGGCACCGGCUAUAAAUAGUCACCUUGAUGUCACUGGUAUAAAAAGCAGCAAGUGACAAUUAAGUAGUUUCUGGAGAACCACAAGCCCAGUAGCCUGGAUUGUAUGGAGGGCAUUUAUACCCAUCUGGGGAAAGGGAUUGUACUAGAACUAUUUUUUUUUUUUCCUGAAGCAGCAACUGGUUGCUUUAUGUCCUGAUAAAUGCGCUCAUGGGAAGGGAUGAUGUAUUAAACUGUUUGACACAG